UGUUUGUGCCCUCGCUGGCCUUUUCUCAAGGUAUAAUGGAAAUAGAUUUUAAUCGCAGGCGCGUCAGUGGUUGAAUUAAAAUUCAUUUUCAUUUGCAGUUACUGGAUACAACAUUCAUCUGAUUAACA
rnacentral:precursor_RNA from 15 species